rnacentral:rRNA from 1 species
GCCACUGCUAUUGGGGCUCGGCUAAGCCAUGCGAGUGGAGGGCGUCCCGCAAGGGAUGGCCCCGCAGACGGCUCAGUAACACGUCGUCAACCCACCUUAGGGUGGGGGACAACCUCGGGAAACUGAGGAUAAUCCCCCAUAGGCGGGGGAGGCUGGAAUGCGCCCCCGCUGAAAGCUCAGGCGCCCUAGGGCGGGACGGCGGCCUAUCAGGUAGUUGGUGGUGUGACG